rnacentral:rRNA from 1 species
AACGAACGCUGGCGGCAGGCUUAACACAUGCAAGUCGAGCGCCCCGCAAGGGGAGCGGCAGACGGGUGAGUAACGCGUGGGAACGUACCUUUUGGUUCGGAACAACUCCGGGAAACUGGAGCUAAUACCGGAUAAGCCCUAACGGGGAAAGAUUUAUCGCCGAAAGAUCGGCCCGCGUCUGAUUAGCUAGUUGGUGAGGUAGCGGCUCACCAAGGCGACGAUCAGUAGCUGGUCUGAGAGGAUGAUCAGCCACACUGGGACUGAGACACGGCCCAGACUCCUACGGGAGGCAGCAGUGGGGAAUAUUGGACAAUGGGCGCAAGCCUGAUCCAGCCAUGCCGCGUGAGUGAUGAAGGCCUUAGGGUUGUAAAGCUCUUUUGUCCGGGAAGAUAAUGACUGUACCGGAAGAAUAAGCCCCGGCUAACUUCGUG